GUGAAUCAUCGAAUUUUUGAACGCAAAUUGCACUCUCUGGUAUUCCGGAGAGUAUGCCUGUUUGAGGGUCAGUUUAAAUAAAAAUCGGUGUGGUUGCUGCCUUUCGUGGUGACGCACCGGAUUUGGGUCGGCUUGCCUUCGGUUAGGCGACCUAAAAUUUUGCAUGGUUUUUUUCGAACGUUUUUAACUGUUUUUACGUACGUUUUGGAUAUCGAAUACUAGGUGUGGUACUCUUCAUGAUGCGCCAC
rnacentral:misc_RNA from 1 species